UACGUAGGGUGCAAGCGUUGUCCGGAUUUAUUGGGCGUAAAGGGCUCGUAGGCGGUUUGUCGCGUCGGGAGUGAAAACUCAGGGCUUAACCCUGAGCCUGCUUCCGAUACGGGCAGACUAGAAGGUAUGCAGGGGGAGAACGGAAUUCCUGGUGUAGCGGUGAAAUGCGCAGAUAUCAGGAGGAACACCGUGGCGAAGGCGGUUCUCUGGGCAUUACCUGACGUGAGGAGCGAAA
rnacentral:rRNA from 1 species